UGCGCACGGUGGGAUAAACAAGAAAUAUAAUAGUGUACAUACGUUUGUCAGUGUACGAAUGAUAGACUUAAUACUCCUAAGCUGAUCAACGACCAAUGAUCUGUGUGCCUGGGGUAGUCUUAAUAUCACACACUCAAAUACCCAAUAACUGGAAAUAUGUCCUCCAUUGUGUGUCUUGUAGUGGGCUAUCUAUAUUUCACGAAUCUGGUUUAUGAAAUACAGACUGGCAUAGUUAUCGAAAGAACAACAACAGCAGCACCCCAGGAACCAGAGAGUUCGGGGUUAACGACGGAACACAAAAUCAUCAUAGGAGUCUGUGUGUCUGUCUUUGAUUAUUCUGGCUGUCAUUGUCGUUGUAGCGGUCAAAAUGCACCAACAGAAGAAAAGACGAAAUGAGAGCGGAAGAACAGAGGCCACAUAAAACAAGUUCCUGUUGCGAUAAACACCUAUGUAUUAUGUAUUGUCGUGCACAUGCGUCUA